rnacentral:lncRNA from 12 species
CUGCGAGGUGCCCACCACAUGGCUGCCACCUGUCGCCCACAAGGAGCUCGCGGCGACUCAGAUGCAGGCCCCUAACAACCCGAGGCGCAGAAUCUGGAUAGGUUAGGGUUGGGGUGUGGCUGCCAGGAGGGGCUCGGCACCUGAUCUCAAGACCCGGGACACCUAGGGGCUCAGGGCGUGACCCCGUGGUCGCAGCCCAACCACAGACAUCUCCAGGGUCGUUGCUUCUUAAUCCUGCUGUUAUUAGCGUGUGUUAACAGGGUUCACUGUGACAAUCGGGGGACAGGCCCUGCGUCCCUGCGGUCUGCGCCACGCUGUCAGGUCCACCCCAGGACUGUGAGUCGGGGGCCAGCAUCAGGGCCACGGUUCCCCCGACGGGAGCUGGGCCGGAACCAGAAUGACAUUCAGGAAACCAUUGGAACUUUCCAUGUCACACACAGUACGAGGUGGGCAAGCCCAAGGGGUUCAUGUCCUCACACUCACGCCACCAAUGACAGGGACUCGAUGCCGGAGGACCCAUUGCCACGCUUCCAUCCCUCACUUCAUUCUUCCUACAGACAAUACAACCCCUCGGUCCGUGGCCCUGAGCACCUGCCUCGGGGUCUCAAGCGAACGCCUCAGGUCCCCACCUCAGCAGCCACCCAACCCCCUCGGCUGUCAACUGUGAGUGCAGACGGUGCAUCACCCAGGGAGAAGGAUGGGGUGUCCUGACACAGUCACAUCACGGUGAUACGGGAGGGCGCUCGCACAGAGGCUGGGAGGUCGUGGGGGGCAGUGGUGGGGGAUGAGAACAUGGUGGCCAGGCAGGGUGCAGGGGGCAAGGUCCCCAAGGGCAGGGUGCAGAGGGUCACUGAUACCGACUCUGUACAGGAGUCACAGACCCGUGCUCUACACAGAGGAUACAGACCCACAGGCUCCACACAGAGGAUACAGACCCGCACCUUUGGCACAGACCUCACAGACCUGCAUUUUGCACGAGGUCAUAGGCCCGCAGCAGCCGCUCCCUCCUGAUUCAGAAGGACAAAGCACUUCGUUUCAGGACAUCAGGAAGGGUGCACCACUGCUAGGGGAUAUACUAAGGACCGGCAGUCAGUCCUGGAAGGACCUGUCAUGCUGCCCAACCUGCUGCAUCGGGGAAGCUGCUGUACGCCCCACACCCGGCAAUACAUGUACGCACCACCCGGCACCUGCCAAUCACCCUGUUUGGCCCAGACAUCCACCGGCCCUUCCUCCGUUCCUCCGAAUCAUACUAAUCCCAGGCAGGGCCGAUGUGUUUUCAGGCCCCACCUACUUUAUUUCUCAGGGCACCUGUUUGUCGUUAUUAGAUAAUGUUUUGCAUGGAAACGUGACAGGUGGGCAGGAGGGAACCCUCUCUGCUUCCCUGACUCCCAUGCACCUGCCCUGACUGUGCUGCUUCUGCUCGAACCUUCUUUUUCUUGCUCGUGUGAAGCUGCCAAUCUGGUGGACAGCGUGUCCAGGCGAGUAAAGUCUCAUGCCUUAAAUAGGCACGUCCCCGCGUUGCCCGCAGCCUGAGGAGCUGGUCAUCUUAGGAGGGGCAUCCGUCUGCCCAACAACAGGAGGCCAUUACAGGAGGCCCCAUUGCUUGCUUGUUGCAGUGCCCCAUGCGUGGGGGGUUGGCCCGUGCAGUUGUGGGGAAUCGCCCCAGUCAGUUGCAAUGCAGGGGAGGUGGCUCCUGGGUGGGGUUCCUUGCGGUGGGCUCCUCUGAGGAAUGCCUGGGCUCUCCACCACUCACCGGAAUGUGGGCCUUGGGGUAGGAAACGGACUCCCUUGCCCCGCGUAGGCCCCACGAGCACCACCCUGCAGCGGCCUGCAGAGGCUAUGCCAGGUCGUGGACUGCGUGGGGUGCCGCCUGGGGACAUUCAGGACGAGCUGGUCUGUGCUCCGAGGCACGAGUGUGAGCUUGGUUCAGGGCAAAUACAACCUCAGAACCGCCCGGCUGCCCUCCCUGAGUCUAUCCACAGCAGACUCUCCUGGUGCUGCUGUGUCUCCACAUCAACGUGGAGCUGAGUGGUUCUGUGACAUUUUCCCAACUCCGUCCUGCUGGCUGCGGGCUGUCGUGGCGGGGGGGUGGGGGGGGGUGGGGAGGGGGGGGGGGGAGGAGGGGGCCGGUGGCUUGCGGAGUUGUCCAGCGGCCUGCGUGGCCCUUCCUUGGCCACUUUGUGACAGUCCUACACUGGGUGGACAGAAACCAGAUGACGGAACCCGCUAGGUGAGGACCAGGGGUCCUCCCGGGCCAGGACUGAGGCCGUAGCAGCUCUUCCUGGGAGCCUCCAGCUCCGAGGCAUCUCAGCUCCGGCUAUGGGGCCAACAAGACGCAGGGCUCAAGGGCCCCUCCGGCAUCUGAUCAAACCCACGCUAGAGAGUCUUUCCACAUGUAACCUCCCUGAGUUAGAAAAUGGUGGGGGGCGGGGGGAGCGGAGACAAGGAGUUUCAUAAACACCCUGUUAUCAACUGAUCAAAUAGAAAUUGUUUUUUCCAACUUAAUAUUUAAGAGUUAUGUCCCUCAAUAAAAAGCUUGGAUAAAACGCA